AGCUCUUUCAAUGUCAUGCUCAAUAGAUCUAGCAAAGACAAGAAGAAGUGCAUUCUGUGCAGGAGAGUGGGAUGAUUCAAGGUUCUCCAAUGCAGAAACAGUAACUAGACGGUCAUCGGAGUUGGUUAUAGGAGGAGCAAAACUGAUAGAAGCACCAGUUUGAUUUUGCAGAGCUCUGACUAUGGAUCCUCCCGUGCCUAUGAUGCUCCCGGCUGCACCAUGGGAGCAGAUCAUCCUAAAUUGAACUCGUGAUUGUUCAUUAGGUUUCUUAUUGUCUCCAUCAGUUGCAAUAUUUUCAGAAUAUGUGGGUAGCAGGGAACACAUUGGUUCACCAGAGGAACCACUUCUUCUUCUCCUAACAGCUCCAAGGCUUAAAUCCACCUCAUCCUUCUCGUAUGGAGGACAAUCUUGAAGACAGCUAGUUACAUCAAUCACUGCUUUCUUUAUGGCCACAGAGCUACUACCUGUAAUCUUUUUUUUUUUUUUCAAACACCAAUUUUUUCAAAUUUCAUUUCAGAUAAUUUAAAACUGCAAACAAGUGAAGAGAAAAUCUUCACCUGUGGCAACUGCAGCAAUGAGGAAGGAGUAUCGCGUACUUGAUCCAAUCUUUUUUCAAAGCUUGUUUCCUGAUUGGAAUCUAGAGAUUCACCAGCUGAUUGAUGCAACAUGGUGAUCUCCCCCGCUCUUCUAUAGGGGCUCCCUGUCCUCAAUCCAUUGAGCAUCUCGGUAGGCAAAAAAUUCUCCCUCAGUUUACAGGUAACUUGAAACAGAGCAUUCUGUACAUUUUUCUCCUCGCCUGUAAUCUGCAAAACAUAUAACAGUUUAGGAAUAAAUCGCUAGGUAGGUGGCACCAAAGAUUUUAACCAGGUAGGUACAGGACUGGGAAUUCAAAAAAAAAAGGACAUAAAUCUUCAAUAGAAGCUCCAAAUACUUUACCAUGUUGGCUGAUCACACUCCAUUACAAGGUCUAACAUUCCAGUAUCUAUCUAUAGUUCUAUACCAGUUUUCAUCCUGGAUGAUCAAGAAAAAUCCUCUACUUUGAAAUCAUCAGGCAAUAUCAAAGAACAAAAGGCAAACGAUAAGUGACAGAACUCUUGGUACAUUUAAAAUAUUGCAUAUCUACACAACAAACAACAAAAACAUCAAAAUUUUAUAUAAUAAGAUAAAUAAAUAAAAAACAUCCAAAUACAAUCGAUGCGCAGGGAACUGGUAGAGCUUUGAAAAUGUUACAAGAAGAGGUGAAAUUUGCUAACCAAACUAGAUGAUGACAACGACAGGUGAUGAAGAAGUGUUGAUUGUUCUUGCAGGGAGAGGAGCAGAUAACUGAUUACAAGCACAAAUCACGGCAGCACCAAAAAUCACAUUAAGCAAUGAUUAUUAGACUCAAUGACAUACUUCAACCCAGUUUAUGUUGUAUACUAAAAUCCUUUUAAUGUCACAAUAACUUGACAGCAAAUAAAAAAAAGUAAGACAUAAAAAUUGCACCUGCACUACUGCAUCAUUCUUUGAAGCGAAAUCAAAGAUUCGGUCCCCUUGCAAAAUCUGUAUGUCAGCACCAGUUGUUUCUAUCAUUUCUGAAUCUACCCUACCUCCUCUUCCAAUCAAACAAGAGACCUUAUUUGAUGGCAGCAGGAGGGUUGCUGUCACGGUAAUUUCCUCAAUCAAGCCCAAGGAACGAGCUCUUUCAAUGUCAUGCUCAAUAGAUCUAGCAAAGACAAGAAGAAGUGCAUUCUGUGCAGGAGAGUGGGAUGAUUCAAGGUUCUCCAAUGCAGAAACAGUAACUAGACGGUCAUCGCAGUUGGUUAUAGGAGGAGCAAAGAUGAUAGAAGCACCAGUUUGAUUUUGCAGAGCUCUGACUACAGACCCUCCCUUGCCUAUGAUGAUCCCAGCUGCACCAUGGGAGCAGAUCAUCCUAAAUUGAACUUGUGAUUGUUCAUUAGGUUUCUUAUGGUCUCCAUCAGUUGCAAUAUUUUCAGAAUAUGUGGGUAGCAGGGAACACGAAUGAGGAGAGAAUUCAGCAUUUGGAUCACC
rnacentral:lncRNA from 1 species